rnacentral:rRNA from 1 species
CAGUCGAGCGAGUCUGCCUUGAAGAUCGGAGUGCUUGCACUCUGUGAAACAAGAUACAGGCUAGCGGCGGACGGGUGAGUAACACGUGGGUAACCUGCCCAAGAGAUCGGGAUAACACCUGGAAACAGAUGCUAAUACCGGAUAAUAACAGAUGAUGCCUAUCAACUGUUUAAAAGAUGGUUCUGCUAUCACUCUUGGAUGGACCUGCGGUGCAUUAGCUAGUUGGUAGGGUAACGGCCUACCAAGGCGAUGAUGCAUAGCCGAGUUGAGAGACUGAUCGGCCACAUUGGGACUGAGACACGGCCCAAACUCCUACGGGAGGCAGCAGUAGGGAAUCUUCCACAAUGGACGCAAGUCUGAUGGAGCAACGCCGCGUGAGUGAAGAAGGGUUUCGGCUCGUAAAGCUCUGUUGUUGGUGAAGAAGGACAGGGGUAGUAACUGACCUUUGUUUGACGGUAAUCAAUUAGAAAGUCACGGCUAACUACGUGCCAGCAGCCGCGGUAAUACGUAGGUGGCAAGCGUUGUCCGGAUUUAUUGGGCGUAAAGCGAGUGCAGGCGGUUCGAUAAGUCUGAUGUGAAAGCCUUCGGCUCAACCGGAGAAUUGCAUCAGAAACUGUCGAGCUUGAGUACAGAAGAGGAGAGUGGAACUCCAUGUGUAGCGGUGAAAUGCGUAGNNNUAUGGAAGAACACCGGUGGCGAAAGCGGCUCNNNGNUCUG